GAUAAAGAACGCAGCGAAAUGCGAUAAGUAGUGUGAAUUGCAGAAUUCAGUGAAUCAUCGAAUCUUUGAACGCACAUUGCGCCCCUUGGUAUCCCGAGGGGCAUGCCUGUUCGAGCGUCAUUUCACCACUCAAGCCUGGCUUGGUGUUGGGCGACGUCCCCUUUGGGGACGCGCCUCGAAACGCUCGGCGGCGUGGCACCGGCUUUAAGCGUAGCAGAAUCUUUCGCUUUGGAAGUCGGGGCCCCGUCUGCCGGAAGACCUACUCGCAAGGUUGACCUCGGAUCAGGCAGGGAUACCCGCUGAACUUAAGCAUAUCAAUAAGCGGAGGA
rnacentral:misc_RNA from 1 species